rnacentral:misc_RNA from 1 species
CUGAACUGUUGACACGAGUUGUUGCUGGUCCCCGAAAGGGGGCAUGUGCACGCUCUGUUUACACAUCCACUCACACCUGUGCACCCUCUGUAGUUCUAUGGCCUUGUGGACUCUGUACUCUUGCCAUGGUCCUGCAUCUUUACACACACACACACCGUAAUACAGUCUUAUGGAAUGCAUGUCGCGUUUAACGCAAUACAAUA